CUAAAGGUUAUUAAAGUUGGAAGACUAUGUUUGAUUUGCCUACCCUGAUGGGAAGUGUCAAAAGGACAGUCUUGUUAAGUCUGGAAGAGCUCUGUGGGGAAGCUCUAACCUAAAACUUUCAAGAUACUUAACUAAGGGUACUAAUCAGAACAUAAGUCCAGCAGAAUGUCUCAUGAACUAAAUAUAUGAAGUGGGCCCAUGGAAAUGGACACGAAGAAAAGCAAAGCACAAGCGGUAUAAGGAAGAGAGCUGGGAGGAUGGCAAAGGAGGAAGAAACAGAACUCAACUCCUCUAACAGACAUGCUGAAAUGUAUAGCUAUAUACGGAACAAUUUCUUCUGGGUAGAGGGAGAAGUAAAAAGUGGUGUGAACCUUCAAUCAGGAGAAAACUCAAAACCCAGAGAUUCUCUCUAAAGAACAAGGCAUUCACAUCUCACUGUUGACACCCUGACUUUUAAGACUGACACCUGAGACACAAGUCCCCAAACUAUCUGGCUUUGAAGACAAACAGGACUUCUGCCCAUGAGAUCCACAGGGCUGUGGCAAAUUAAGUAACACCAACUCUUAAAUGGCCUGUGUGCAGACUCAUGCAUUCCAAGCCCAAAGCAGAAGUAGCCCAUUGAAAAGCACCCAGACUUUAUGUGAAAAAAACUUAUUUCCUAAUUUAAAACUUUAGUAUGAGGGACAGAGGCCUGUUUAGGAUACUCUCUGGGGUCAGAGACCAGUGAGUACAAUCUACCUGUACUCCUUUUGCCUUGCUAAAGGCAGCAAGUAUCUUCAUGUUUUGUUUUGUUUUUCCUUUCCCACGGGUGUCACCUUGCACACUCUCCCUCUGCAUUGUUAAAGCUGGUGAACACCAUCUCCUACCCCCAUUUCCUUGUUAUUUCCUUUUUUUUCUCUUCUUUUUCCCUUUCUUUUCUUUCCUUUUUUUUUUUUUUUCAGUAGGUGAUAUCUUUGCAUUCCCAUUUGUCUUGUUGUAACCAGAGAGUGCCGUUUUUGCUCUUUCUCCUCCUGCUAUGUUCACAGCACAAGUAUUUCCUAGAAGGAAGUUCCUACACAUGCCUGGUGCUCCAGUUUUUACAUCUGGUGACAGGGUUUUGUUGUUGCCACAGGAGAUGCCCCUUG
rnacentral:lncRNA from 1 species